UUAAUUUACAUGUUACGGAAAGUAACCCCAAAUAGAACAUCAAAAUACAUACAAUGGCCAAGUUUUUUAUAUUAAUACUGUCAAUGUAUUUGAUUACUAAAUUUGGUGUAAGCUUGAAAUGCUACGAGUGCGUCGGCUCCCAAUCGAGCGAUUGUGCGCGUGGCACCACUUCCGCCGCGGUGGCGGUGAAUUGCACUCCCCAAAUAUUGCGUGCGAUAUCACGCACUUAUCUGCGAACUGAUAGUACCGCGGCCGCUUCCACAAAUGGAUUUCGCCCAUUAGAGGAGCAAGAGCCUUUCGUACCGUAUCCAGCCUGCGUAACGUUUACCAAAGUUCCAUAUCACGGGCGGGACGUCAUGGUGCAUCGGAAAUGUCUGGUUUCUGGUGAAAACUUUUGCAAGGAAUAUUUACAAAGACACGCCAAAGACAAAUGCCAACAAUGUAAUCAUACUGAUUUUUGUCUAUAGUUAUUUUAUGAAUAAUUAACGAAAUAUAUUGAUACAAAUGCAA